rnacentral:rRNA from 1 species
UACGGGGGGGAGCAAGCGUUGUUCGGAUUUACUGGGCGUAAAGGGCGCGUAGGCGGCCUCCGCAAGUCAGUUGUGAAAUCUCCGAGCUUAACUCGGAAAGGUCAACUGAUACUGCGGGGCUAGAGUGCGGAAGGGGCAACUGGAAUUCUUGGUGUAGCGGUGAAAUGCGUAGAUAAUCAAGAGGAACACCUGCGGCGAAGGCGGGGAUUGCUGGGCCCGACACUGACGCUGAGGCGCGAAAGCUAGGGGAGCGAACGGG